rnacentral:rRNA from 1 species
AGCAGCAGCCGCGGGAAUACGUAGGUGGCAAGCGUUGUCCGGAAUUAUUGGGCGUAAAGGGCUCGUAGGCGGUUUCUUAAGUCUGAUGUGAAAGCCCCCGGCUCAACCGGGGAGGGUCAUUGGAAACUGGGAAACUUGAGUGCAGAAGAGGAGAAUGGAAUUCCACGUGUAGCGGUGAAAUGCGUAGAGAUGUGGAGGAACACCAGUGGCGAAGGCGACUCUCUGGUCUGUAACUGACGCUGAGGAGCGAAAGCGUGGGGAGCGAACAGGAUUAGAUACCCCAGUAGUCCCUGUCUCUUAUAC